UCCAAAAAAGGCCACUGUUUUACAUUAAUGGACUUUGCACAGCCAGUUGAGGUCAUCGUGAUCACAGUAGGGAUAAUAGGUAGCCUGUCUAACCAGGCUAAUGUAUAGACAACAGGAACCCUGCGUUGCAACACUUUGUACACAAAUGCUACGAAAACACACAGUUCCUACAAGACAAGCAAAUGUUGGUGUUUAUUUACACAACUCUGAGGUACUCACACAACCCAUAUUCCAGCGAUGGUGAAGACAGGCAGGCUGACAGGGAGGAUCAUCCACAGAGACAUGACGACCACCUGGAGAUCUCCACUGCAAAGAUCAACAAACACCAGCGUCACCAAAGACCAGAAGGACUCCGAUCAGGCCAUUAAAACCAGAAUCACUAAGUCUAAGUGACGUCAUUACAAUGUACAGUUCACUCUGGUCGAUAAGAACUAUAAUAAUCCUGUUGUGCACUUUUAGGACAACACGAGAGUCCUGUGUCGAUUAGAGGCUGCUGCUCGUUCAUGCAUGACCACCCAAUUAUAUCAGCGCCUCGGGAAAAGCAGCAUGCAAAGGCAAAGCAGAGGGACUCUGGUGUGUUUGAUCCUACCUCUCGUGUGUUCAGUGGGGAAAGCUUCAGGCUGCGCUCUUCAUCUCAGCUCCUCCAAACUCGAUGAAAAGUCGCAAGAAGUCGCUGCGAGUCCGAGCUCCUCUGCUGCACCUGAUUUCAUUGUCAGAAUGUGACAAAUAUGAUGCAGAUUUAUCACAUCAGGAUGAGGAGAAACAUGGAGACGGUGUGUGUUUUCCAGUUCUCAUUCAUCACACACACCCGAGCCUCCCACCGUCCUCAGCCUGCAGCCUGACUGAAAUGUUCCGAGGAGGAGAGACCAGCUGGAGACAGUAACUUCUAACUCCUCCCAGAAAACACUCAGACCCCCCUUUUAAAAAACACAUUUUGACAGUUUGUGUUGGUUUUCAGCCACUUUUCAUUCAUGCUGUUUGAAAUUUAAUCAGUUUUGUCCUUUUUUAUAAGCUUAUGAGCGUAUGUGUUUGGGUGUGCCUGGACUUCUGCAUGCCUCACAAACACUUUUGAACUAGGUCUAUAUGGUGGAUCAGCUGCAGUGCUGGUGUUGUAGUGUGUUAUCCCGAUCACGGAUCAUUUUGUUCUCCGUCUAGUUCCUGGAAACAGAUUUCACAACCGCACUGCAUAUAAUUAUUGAGCGUUGACUCCGGCGUGCAGUCCAGAAUAUUGAAUUUCGUGUUUCUUCUUUUCCCCUUAAAACAUCUAAUGUUUUCCAAGAAAGCGGAUUUGAUGCCUUCAGGGGCCCUUUGUAAGCUUCUGUUUCUUGUUGGCAGUGGUACAUGGCCUGUCUAAUGAGUGACUGGAAGUUGUUUUGUUUUUUCAUGAAACCUCACUGUUCAGAUCUCAACAUUUUAAAGAUCUUAACGUUUUAAAUUAGUCCACAGUUUAAUAUAAGUGCACCUGCAAUGUAUAGAUCUAACGCUUUACCCCAUAAUGUUGAAUUCAAAUGUAUUAAUGCCCCCGUUUAUAAUUUAACCAUUUUAUCCUUAUCUUUUGUUGCUGCACUUUUGUAUGAUUUAAAGUUGGGUUUACAAUUUACAAGCACACAAUACAACAAUGUAAAAAUAAAUAAAUCCAGUGUUGCAUUCAAAGUAUUGUCAGCAAAUGUGAAAGCAUAGAUUCUGCAAAAAAAGGCUCCUGUGAAUGAUAUAUAUUUAUAUGACCUUAUUAAAUAAAUUGUUAAUUCUGAUGGAUCAAUGUGUAUUUCAAA